rnacentral:rRNA from 1 species
CCUACGGGUGGCAGCAGUGAGGAAUAUUGGUCAAUGGACGAGAGUCUGAACCAGCCAAGUCGCGUGAAGGAUGACUGCCCUAUGGGUUGUAAACUUCUUUUAUCUGGGAAUAAAAUGUUCCACGUGUGGGAUUUUGUAUGUACCAUAUGAAUAAGGAUCGGCUAACUCCGUGCCAGCAGCCGCGGUAAUACGGAGGAUCCGAGCGUUAUCCGGAUUUAUUGGGUUUAAAGGGGGCGUAGGUGGAGUGUUAAGUCAGUUGUGAAAGUUUGCGGCUCAACCGUAAAAUGGCAGUUGAAACUGGGAGUUUUGAGGACAGUAGAGGUGGGGGGAAGUCGGGUGG